rnacentral:rRNA from 1 species
UACGAAGGGGGCUAGCGUUGCUCGGAAUUACUGGGCGUAAAGGGAGCGUAGGCGGAUAGUUUAGUCAGAGGUGAAAGCCCAGGGCUUAACCUUGGAACUGCCUUUGAUACUGGCUAUCUUGAGUACGGGAGAGGUGAGUGGAACUCCGAGUGUAGAGGUGAAAUUCGUAGAUAUUCGGAAGAACACCAGUGGCGAAGGCGACUCACUGGCCCGUUACUGACGCUGAGGCUCGGAAAGCGUGGGGAGCAAACAGG